CCAUCGUCGCCCAUACUAGCUUUCGGCUAUGGCCGUAUUACAAUUAGUUGACACGCCAUAGUUGUGUCAAUUGUAAUGUAGAUGGACUGAUAAACUAUUUGGCAGUCUAACACAUGUUCAUGCAUCAAUUGUCUGAAUCUGAUUUAUUAGCUCAUUAGAGAAUCGGGUCCUCUCAGUUCUUUCGUACUGAAAACCCCCCAUUUGAUGUCUCAUUCUUUGAAAUUGAAGGGGUAGCUGCACAAUAUUAUAAGCCCCAAAAGCUGGAACUUACACUCCAUUGAAGAAAAAUAGAAUUCUGCCUAGUAGUAAAUCAACUUAUAGCUUCCAAUGUGAUUCAAAAACAAGUCAAAAGAGCCACAUGAAAUAACUCUAUCAGCAGUAUACACAUUCAAAUCUGUACUGCAGUCCUUUGUGAAAUUAUUUAUGUGCAAUUCAUCAAUAACUUAAGGAUCAAGUGCUUGAAAAGGUAACAUAGUAUCAGACUAACGUCUCUCCAGACCAGCGGUGAUUUUCCUUUAUUUCACCGUGCAUGCAUGGCAUGCAUCUGUCAAACUACAUGUAGUAGAGCUCAUAAAGUAAGUCUUUUUCUUCGAAGUAUGUGUAGAUUUUUAAUUUUUUUUUAUUUGCAAUUCCUGUUCGUUCAACAAGGCGCGUUGUCAGGGAUAAGAAUCUGCGGUUAAUUAUUUCGCAGGUGGGAUUUUU
rnacentral:lncRNA from 1 species